GCUGGCGGUAGGCUUAACACAUGCAAGUCGUGCGAGAAAGUAUCUUCGGAUAUGAGUAGAGCGGCGGACGGGUGAGUAACGCGUAGGAAUCUACCUAGUAGAAGGGGAUAGCCCGGGGAAACUCGGAUUAAUACCGUAUACCUCCUUAGGGAGAAAGAAGGCCUCUCUUGAUGCUUUCGCUAUUAGAUGAGCCUGCGUAAGAUUAGCUUGUUGGUGAGGUAAUGGCUCACCAAGGCUACGAUCUUUAGCUGGUCUGAGAGGACGAUCAGCCACAUUGGGACUGAGACACGGCCCAGACUCCUACGGGAGGCAGCAGUGGGGAAUAUUGGACAAUGGGCGCAAGCCUGAUCCAGCCAUACCGCGUGUGUGAAGAAGGCCUUCGGGUUGUAAAGCACUUUAAGCAGGGAGAAAAAGUUAUAAGUUAAUACCUUAUAACCGUGAUGUUACCUGCAGAAUAAGCACCGGCUAAUUCCGUGCCAGCAGCCGCGGUAAUACGGAAGGUGCAAGCGUUAAUCGGAAUUACUGGGCGUAAAGCGCGCGUAGGUGGUUUGUUAAGUUGGAUGUGAAAGCCCUGGGCUCAACCUAGGAACUGCAUCCAAAACUAACUCACUAGAGUACGAUAGAGGGAGGUAGAAUUCAUAGUGUAGCGGUGGAAUGCGUAGAUAUUAUGAAGAAUACCAGUGGCGAAGGCGGCCUCCUGGAUCUGUACUGACACUGAGGUGCGAAAGCGUGGGUAGCGAACAGGAUUAGAUACCCUGGUAGUCCACGCCGUAAACGAUGACAACUAGCUGUUGGGAAACAAUGUUUUUCAGUGGCGCAGCUAACGUUUUAAGUUGUCCGCC
rnacentral:rRNA from 1 species